GCGAGGGUGGCGGAAUUGGUAAACGCACUAGCUUCAGGUGUUAGUAUCUUUACGACUGUAGGGGUUUAAGUCCCCCUUUCGAACCA
rnacentral:tRNA from 1 species